UAGGGAAUCUUCGGCAAUGGGGGGAACCCUGACCGAGCAACGCCGCGUGAGUGAAGAAGGUUUUCGGAUCGUAAAGCUCUGUUGUUAAGGAAGAACGAGUGUGAGAAUGGAAAGUUCAUGCUGUGACGGUACUUAACCAGAAAGGGACGGCUAACUACGUGCCAGCAGCCGCGGUAAUACGUAGGUCCCGAGCGUUGUCCGGAUUUAUUGGGCGUAAAGCGAGCGCAGGCGGUUAGAAAAGUCUGAAGUGAAAGGCAGUGGCUCAACCAUUGUAGGCUUUGGAAACUGUUUAACUUGAGUGCAGAAGGGGAGAGUGGAAUUCCAUGUGUAGCGGUGAAAUGCGUAGAUAUAUGGAGGAACACCGGUGGCGAAAGCGGCUCUCUGGUCUGUAACUGACGCUGAGGCUCGAAGGCGUGGGGAGCGAACAGG
rnacentral:rRNA from 1 species